AGCGAACGCUGGCGGUAGGCCUAACACAUGCAAGUCGAACGGCAGCACAGUAAGAGCUUGCUCUUACGGGUGGCGAGUGGCGGACGGGUGAGGAAUACAUCGGAAUCUACUUUUUCGCGGGGGAUAACGUAGGGAAACUUACGCUAAUACCGCAUACGACCUACGGGUGAAAGCAGGGGAUCUUCGGACCUUGCGCGAGUGAAUGAGCCGAUGUCGGAUUAGCUAGUUGGCGGGGUAAAGGCCCACCAAGGCGACGAUCCGUAGCUGGUCUGAGAGGAUGAUCAGCCACACUGGAACUGAGGCACGGUCCAGACACCUGCAGGAGGCAGCCGUGGAGAAUAUUGGACAAUGGACGCAAGCCUGAUCCAACCAUACCGCGUAAGUGAAGAAGGCCUUCGGGUUGUUGAGCCCUUUUGUUGGGAAAGAAAAGCAGCACGUUAAUACCCCGCUGUACUGACGGUACCCAAAGAAUAAGCACCGGCUAACUUCGUG
rnacentral:rRNA from 1 species